rnacentral:rRNA from 1 species
AGAUUGAACGCUGGCGGCAGGCCUAACACAUGCAAGUCGAGCGGUAGAGAGGUGCUUGCACCUCUUGAGAGCGGCGGACGGGUGAGUAAUGCCUAGGAAUCUGCCUAGUGGUGGGGGAUAACGUUCGGAAACGGACGCUAAUACCGCAUACCGUCCUACGGGAGAAAGCGGGGGACCUUCGGGCCUCGCGCCAUU